rnacentral:lncRNA from 1 species
AGUUGUGUAUUCUUCGUUGUGGGUCCUUCUAGUUGUGGGAUGUGGGACGCCGCCUCAACGUUGCCUGACAAGCAGUGCCAUGUCCACGCCCAGGAUCCGAACCCUGGGCUGCUGCAGCGGAGCGCACGAACUUAACCACUCGCCCAAGGAGCCGGCCCCGGAAAUUUUUCUUAAAAAGUGGCACUGGUAGGAGGUCACAGCUCAAAUUUCUACAGAAUGAAAAGUUUCAGCUACAUGAGAGAUAUAGGCGUGUAUAAGUUGUUUGGAAGUGGUAAGAAUGUAGCAAAGCAGAAAGAAC